rnacentral:misc_RNA from 1 species
UUGAUCCAGAGUUACUCAAAUAAAGUUAGUUCAGUUCUCUCUAGUCUUUGAGAAGUGAUUGAGUGAGUUGUGACUUAGUGUAUUUGAGUUGUCUAGUUUUGUGUUGAUUCCUUCAUCUUUUGCCCCGAAUUGAGCAUUAUCGUCAUCAUGAGUAGCACAGUGAAUCAAGUUCAAGGAAGUAACAUCCUGGAUGUUCUCAAGAAGAAAAUGAGACAGACGAAGGAGGAGAUGGAGAAGUACAAAGAGGACUGUGAAGACAUGCAACGCAAGUACCAAUCCGAGAUGAGUCGUCGCGAAGAAUCUGAGGGAGAAGUCGCUGCUUUGAAUCGCCGCAUUCAGUUGUUGGAAGAGGAUUUGGAGCGCUCCGAGGAGAGACUCUCCAUUGCCACGCAGAAAUUGGCGGAAGCAUCUCAAGCAGCUGAUGAGUCUGAACGGAUUCGUAAAACCCUGGAAAACAAAUUCAACAUGGAAGAUGACAGAGUUACUGCUUUGGAAAAUCAUUUAGUUACCGCUAAACAAAUCGCGGAAGACUCUGAUAAAAAAUACGAAGAGGUUGCUAGAAAACUCGCCAUGGUUGAGGCUGAUUUAGAGAGAGCUGAAGAACGUGCCGAAAAUAGUGAAGCUAAGAGCGUUAAUUUGGAAGAAGAGUUAAGAGUUGUUGGAAACAAUCUUAAAUCCUUGGAAGUCUCUGAGGAAAAAGCAUCGCAAAAAGAAGAGUCAUACUCCGAACAACUUAAAAAGAUGGGUUCCAAGCACAAGGAGGCUGAAGCACGUGCGGAAUUUGCUGAAAGAUCCGUCCAAAAAUUACAAAAAGAAGUCGACAGAUUGGAAGACGAUUUGAGAUCUGAGCAAGAUAAGAACAAAAUGCUACAAGAAGACAUGGAAGCUACCCUCCAAGAUAUACAAAACAUGUAAUAAUUGAUAUACUCUUUAUAUUAAUGUUAUAAUAUUUUAAAUUCGACUGAGCAAUCCGUGAACAAUAACAGAGAUGAACUGGUCCGACAAAUUAAAUUAAAUAUAACAUAAAAAGAUAUCUCGAAGCCAUAAUGGAUCAGAAGCUCUGUCUCUAUUUAUAAAGCUCCCUAUGAAACAAAAAAACUUUGUAACAUCAUAUUUUAUAUUAUCUAUUUUUUAUGUUCCAAUUGUCUAUUUAUUUAGAUUUUGUCAAGCAUAGAAUUAUAUUUAUAGUGAAUUAUUUUUUUUUCCUGCACGCUUUGAAACAAGAACAUAAGCAAACCAAGUACUACUUUUUUUUUGCUUCUACGAUUGUUAAUUUUUUUUUAUAUUGCUGAUCAAAAAAAAAAAAAAAAAAAAAAUGUGCGUGUACUCCUCUAAAAAAGUUAUUUAUUAAAAAAAAUAAUCAAGAAUUUCAUUUACAUUUUUCUAAUGAAGUCCAAUUUUUUGCCAUGUAGUGUGUGUGACCUCAUUGUUUUAAAUAAGGAGUGUUGUCUCUUAAAAAACUUUACAGCAUUUAUUACUAUUAUCCCAUACUACUACUCUUACAACUUUUUAUUUAAAAAUGAUGAGCCCUCCACAUUCUUACCCACCCAUUCCUCAACAAGGCCCUUUGACGUUUGAUCAAAAAACAAAAAAAUUAGAAAAACUAUAACCAUCAUUUGCUCUGUCCUCCGUUGCCGCUAAGUUUAAAUUAUAUAUAUAUAUACGUUAUAAAUUAACCAACAGUUUUUGUUCUUUAUGUACUUUACAGAAGGACACUUCCCCCAUUUUAAUCUUAUACAAUUGUCUAGUAAAAGCAAGAUCCUUAAAUGCAAGAUAAAGGAUCACUUUAUAUUUAGACAUAUUAAUGAUGGUUCUCCCUUCUAUCUCUUUUUCUUUCAUAUGCACAGAUUAUGAGCUGUAUAGUGUAUAAGAAAUUUAAAAAAAUUAUAAAAACACAUGAAAUACAAUCUUAAAAAAAAUAUUAACAUUUAAUUAUUUUAGUAAUGACCCUUAAGGCUAAGUGUUUGAGGAAGAUCAAUCAUUAGUACACAUACUUAUUUCAUAAAAAUAUUUUAUGAGUGUGAUGUCUUGGGAAAAGGGAAGUAGGAUAUAAUGUUAGAAUUAAAAUCCUUCAGUAUUA